AGACCAGAAAGGUCUACAGUUGAGGCCCCCUGUAGUGCAAUUUGUGUCAGUCUGGGGAGAGUGGAUUUGGAGCCUAACCACCAUUUAUGUAAAUCAAUCUGAUGGACAUUAGCCUCAUUCAGGUUCUCAUCUACUUCCCUGGGGUCUCCCCCACCUCCCUCAAGAGUUUGGAACCACAUACUAUUCUGGAGGGGACCUCUAAAUGCUGCCAAGCCUGUCCUCCAGGAUACCCACAAGUGUUCAUCUCGGUUGUGGCUAAUUAACUUACCAUAUGGUAGUAAACUACCUUCUGGGGCCCCAAUAUUUUGUUUAUUUUUUAAAAGUAAAAUUAGCACGAUUGUUUAUUUUCUGAAUGUACAGAAA